rnacentral:siRNA from 1 species
UCGAGGAUUCGGUUGCUGUUCU